rnacentral:sRNA from 1 species
CUUGGUGAGCCGGCCUCGGGGUUGGUGAGAGGAGAAGGCUGAGGUGGGGUCGGUGGCAGGGUGAGGCCCUGGGCAGCUCUGGGCAUGGAAAAGCAGAUGACAACAUUGCAGCAGAGAGGGCCAGAGAGGUGGGCAGGGCUGAAGAGCAUCGAGUAGGCGUACUUGGGGCGGUAAUAGGGUUUGGAGAAGGGACGUCAGAGCACAGAGCAAAUCUGCCUAUUCCAGAAUGAAGCAGCUCCAACCUACCAUGCCCCUACAAAGGGGAGGACCAGGAUCAGCUCUAGCCUUGGGACUCUUUGUUCUCUACACAAAGCUUCCCUGUCUGGGUACAAUCUCAGGCUCUAGGUGCUCUCAGGGCACAAACUUGGGUCAUUCAACUGAGGCCAGGCACCUCCUCUCCCUGCCCUACUUUCUGUUGUGACUUGGGAAACAUUGAAAUGGCUGCUGUCUUCUGCCCCGGCUUUAGUUUCUGACCUUGAUCCUGCUUGCCCGGAUCUGCAUAACCCAGGAGAGGUGGAUGAUAGCAUCAAAUGGCUUCUGAUUAUUUCUCUCCUCCUGGCUCCUUGCAACCAGGCUUCUGGAAGUCCUGCAUCAUGUGGCUAUCAUGUGGUUAACCCUUCAGCUCCCGAGUCUUGAGCACUUGAUGAGUAGUCAAAAGUUGAGCAAAUCCGAGUACUUUCUGAGGAAUCUCAGACCGGAUCCUAAAAGAAGCAGUGUUGACAGCAAGAGACACUCUCUCCUUGACCACCCGGAGUCUAGGUCUUGACAAUAAAAUUUUAGUGUCUGGAAUUGUUCAGUCUUGUUUCCACCAUGUGGACCAGGCGAAUACUGGAGACCAGGUGAGAGUGAGGGCGACCAGGACGUGUGGCAGCUCUACUGGGGGCAGUUUCAUCCAGUUCUGACUCCUUAAGUGAGCUCCUCUACUUUUUGACUUCACUCUCACCCUGCUGCAAAAACUCACCGGACUUCAUUCCUGAACCUUGGUGCUGCUUAUCCACGGCUGCUCAACAGCUCCACUAAAGCAUUCUGGCUCACAUUUGACAUCUCCAAAUACCACUGCCUUACUUCUUUGCUGAAACCUAAUGUUUAAAUUAUGUUUAUCUAGUAGGGGCAGCCGUGUGCUACAUCCAGGAUGUAGCGUGGAGGACCGGGGACAGCUCAGUGGAGUCAGCUCUCGCCCUCCACCAUGUCGGUUCCAGGGACUGAACUCAGGUCAUCAGGCUUGGUGGCAAGUGGUUCUUCUGGUUGAGCCAUCUCAGCACCCCUCUUCUGUGCUCCUUAUCUCAGGCCAUUGCACCGCAGUGUUGCAGCUAUAGCCAGUUACCUCAGCCUGUCCUCCUCUUCCUUCCUCUAUCUUCUGCGUUCUGCCUACUGAUGGGCCUCAGUAGCCCCAGAGCUCCUGCUCUGCCAACGACGUUGUGUUAGCCUCCCCGUCAAUGUGAAAGAUAGGGGUAGCUUUCACUCUCAGAUGCUUUCAAAACUCCUUUCCACCCAAUGGCCCAAAUCAUCCUUCUAAUUUCUGGCUAUGAUCACAUCACUCCGAUGAUGCUCAAAAUUCUUCAGUGACUCCCCACUGCUUCCAGGAUGAAAUCUGAACCCCUGCAGCUAGGUCACAAAUUCACUGUCGUUUAUACUCAGAUGUGCGACCAUAUGUCUCUCUCUUCCCUAUAACUGAUCUGAUCCUUCUCACAAUGCCCCCACCCUGCUGGGUAACAGGAGGAAACUAAAAUUAAUCCAUCCUGACGAACUCCACGGGGUCCGUAGUUUAUUUUAGACAGUCUCUAACACAGUAGCUUUAGAUGAUUCAGCUGUUGAGAUGACUUUACACUCCCCUUUCUCCUUUCUUGGAAGGAGGGGCCCUGCCCCUUAGCCACCUGGUCCUGACUUGUCAGCUGGCAUCUGCUGGGAUGUGGUUGGUAUGGUAUAAAUGAAUUAGUGAAAAAACCUAAGAA